rnacentral:rRNA from 1 species
UACGGGGGGGCAAGCGUUGUCCGGAAUCACUGGGCGUAAAGCGCACGUAGGCGGGACGGUGCGUCGGUGCUGAAAGCGCCAGGCUUAACCUGGCGAGGCGUGCCGAUACGACCGACCUCGAGGCAGACAGAGGGUGGCGGAAUUCCGGGUGUAGUGGUGAAAUGCGUAGAGAUCCGGAGGAACGCCGGUGGCGAAAGCGGCCACCUGGGUCUGACCUGACGCUGAGGUGCGAAAGCGUGGGGAGCAAACCGG